rnacentral:rRNA from 1 species
GGUUUUUUAGCACUUUGUCAAAAGCAGGCUCCGAAUUCGCCCUUAGAGUUUGAUCCUGGCUCAGAUUGAACGCUGGCGGCAGGCCUAACACAUGCAAGUCGAACGGCAGCGGGGGAUAGCUUGCUAUCCUGCCGGCGAGUGGCGGACGGGUGAGUAAGGCAUGGGGAGCUGCCCAAUCGAGGGGGAUAACAACUGGAAACGGUUGCUAAUACCGCAUACGCCCCGCGGGGGAAAGGUGGGGACCAUUUGGCCUACCGCGAUUGGAUGCACCCAUGUGGGAUUAGCUGGUUGGUGAGGUAACGGCUCACCAAGGCGACGAUCUCUAGCUGGUCUGAGAGGAUGACCAGCCACACUGGAACUGAGACACGGUCCAGACUCCUACGGGAGGCAGCAGUGGGGAAUAUUGCACAAUGGGGGAAACCCUGAUGCAGCCAUGCCGCGUGUGUGAAGAAGGCCUUCGGGUUGUAAAGCACUUUCAGUCAGGAGGAAGGGGAGCAGACUAAUAUUCUGUUUCAUUGACGUUACUGACAGAAGAAGCACCGGCUAACUCCGUGCCAGCAGCCGCGGUAGUACGGAGGGUGCAAGCGUUAAUCGGAAUAACUGGGCGUAAAGCGCACGCAGGCGGUUGGAUAAGCGAGAUGUGAAAGCCCCGGGCUCAACCUGGGAACUGCAUUUCGAACUGUCCGACUAGAGUCUUGUAGAGGGGGGUAGAAUUCCAGGUGUAGCGGUGAAAUGCGUAGAGAUCUGGAGGAAUACCGGUGGCGAAGGCGGCCCCCUGGACAAAGACUGACGCUCAGGUGCGAAAGCGUGGGGAGCAAACAGGAUUAGAUACCCUGGUAGUCCACGCUGUAAAC